rnacentral:sRNA from 1 species
GCUGGGCAUGGUAGCACAUGCCUGUAAUCCCAGUGGCUCAGGAGGCUGAGGCAGGAAGAUUGGGAGUUCACAGCUAAGGUGCUAAGCAAUUCAGUGAGAUCCUGUCUCUA